GACGAACGCUGGCGGCGCGCUUAACACAUGCAAGUCGAGCGAAGCGGCGGACGGGUGAGUAACACGUGAGUAACCUGCCUUAGACAUUGGGAUAGCCUCGGGAAACCGGGAUUAAUACCAAAUGGUCUAAGAUGGACUCGCGUCCCAUUAGCUAGUUGGUGGGUAACGGCCCACCAAGGCGACGAUCAGUAGCCGGCCUUAGAGGGUGAUCGGCCACAUUGGAACUGAGACACGGUCCAAACUCUACGGGAGGCAGCAGUGGGGAAUAUUGCACAAUGGGGGAAACCCUGAUGCAGCGACGCCGCGUGAGCGAAGAAGGCCUUCGGGUCGUAAAGCUCUUUUAUGAGGGAAGCGGUACCUCAAGAAAAAGCCCCGGCUAACUACGUGCCAGCAGCCGCGGUAAUAC
rnacentral:rRNA from 1 species